UCAAGGCUGCCACGGGGAUGCUGUAG
rnacentral:piRNA from 1 species